AUUGAACGCUGGCGACAGGCCUAACACAUGCAAGUCGAGCGGAUGAAGGGAGCUUGCUCCUGGAUUCAGCGGCGGACGGGUGAGUAAUGCCUAGGAAUCUGCCUGGUAGUGGGGGAUAACGUCCGGAAACGGGCGCUAAUACCGCAUACGUCCUGAGGGAGAAAGUGGGGGAUCUUCGGACCUCACGCUAUCAGAUGAGCCUAGGUCGGAUUAGCUAGUUGGUGGGGUAAAGGCCUACCAAGGCGACGAUCCGUAACUGGUCUGAGAGGAUGAUCAGUCACUGGAAAACAGAGACGGGGUCCAGACUCCCACGAGGGGCAACAGUGGAGUAUUGGAGACAGUGGGCGAAACCGUGAUCCAGCCAUGCCGCGUGUGAAAAAAAGCUCUUGGGUGUAUAAAGCUCUUUAAGUGGGGAAGAAGGACAAUAAUUUAAUACCUCGCUGUUGUCACUAUACAAACAGAAUAAGCACCGUCUAACUGCG
rnacentral:rRNA from 1 species